GAAAGGAUUAUAUCGGUCUCAAAAUUCAUCGCUUCAGCGAGCAACACGUGUAUUUAUUUGUUUAACAGUUUAUGAUGAAUUUACGACGAACUAUGUAAAUUUGUGAUCGAUUUUUUUUGACACGUCAAGUAAUAUUGCGACCGAUUGGCGAGGUAUUAGGGCGGUCGCAUUUUUUAAGAGUUGAAAAACCCCAGUCUCCUUCCUGUGUGACAACAGUUGCAGUUUCUUCCUCUCUAAAAAAUCUACGCCCCUCUUCCUGCUCCUCGCCAUCCGUCGCUGUCCACCAACCGUCGAGGUGGUUUUCAGCGGGAUUCCCCUCGCCGCUAGUGGUUCCGUCGGGCCCUCUCUCCUUAUUGCGCGACUACAGUCCAGGUUCCUUUUUUUUCGUUUUUAUUUUUUUUUAUUCUGUUGUCAUUCUUUUUUAAUAGAAAUGGAAUGUUUUGCCUUCUAUUUCAUUUAUUUGAUGAUUUAAUCGUUUGUUUUGUGUUUAAUGUUGUCUAUUUCAUUUGUUAA
rnacentral:lncRNA from 1 species